rnacentral:rRNA from 1 species
GUUGGCUUAGAAGCAGCCAUCAUUUAAAGAAAGCGUAAUAGCUCACUGGUCGAGUCGGCCUGCGCGGAAGAUGUAACGGGGCUAAACCAUGCACCGAAGCUGCGGCAGCGACGCUUAUGCGUUGUUGGGUAGGGGAGCGUUCUGUAAGCCUGUGAAGGUGUACUGUGAGGUAUGCUGGAGGUAUCAGAAGUGCGAAUGCUGACAUAAGUAACGAUAAAGCGGGUGAAAAGCCCGCUCGCCGGAAGACCAAGGGUUCCUGUCCAACGUUAAUCGGGGCAGGGUGAGUCGACCCCUAAGGCGAGGCCGAAAGGCGUAGUCGAUGGGAAACAGGUUAAUAUUCCUGUACUUGGUGUUACUGCGAAGGGGGGACGGAGAAGGCUAUGUUGGCCGGGCGACGGUUGUCCCGGUUUAAGCGUGUAGGCUGGUUUUCCAGGCAAAUCCGGAAAAUCAAGGCUGAGGCGUGAUGACGAGGCACUACGGUGCUGAAGCAACAAAUGCCCUGCUUCCAGGAAAAGCCUCUAAGCAUCAGGUAACAUCAAAUCGUACCCCAAACCGACACAGGUGGUCAGGUAGAGAAUACCAAGGCGCUUGAGAGAACUCGGGUGAAGGAACUAGGCAAAAUGGUGCCGUAACUUCGGGAGAAGGCACGCUGAUAUGUAGGUGAAGCGACUUGCUCGUGGAGCUGAAAUCAGUCGAAGAUACCAGCUGGCUGCAACUGUUUAUUAAAAACACAGCACUGUGCAAACACGAAAGUGGACGUAUACGGUGUGACGCCUGCCCGGUGCCGGAAGGUUAAUUGAUGGGGUUAGCGGUAACGCGAAGCUCUUGAUCGAAGCCCCGGUAAACGGCGGCCGUAACUAUAACGGUCCUAAGGUAGCGAAAUUCCUUGUCGGGUAAGUUCCGACCUGCACGAAUGGCGUAAUGAUGGCCAGGCUGUCUCCACCCGAGACUCAGUGAAAUUGAACUCGCUGUGAAGAUGCAGUGUACCCGCGGCAAGACGGAAAGACCCCGUGAACCUUUACUAUAGCUUGACACUGAACAUUGAGCCUUGAUGUGUAGGAUAGGUGGGAGGCUUUGAAGUGUGGACGCCAGUCUGCAUGGAGCCGACCUUGAAAUACCACCCUUUAAUGUUUGAUGUUCUAACGUUGGCCCCUGAUCGGGGUUGCGGACAGUGUCUGGUGGGUAGUUUGACUGGGGCGGUCUCCUCCUAAAGAGUAACGGAGGAGCACGAAGGUUGGCUAAUCCUGGUCGGACAUCAGGAGGUUAGUGCAAUGGCAUAAGCCAGCUUGACUGCGAGCGUGACGGCGCGAGCAGGUGCGAAAGCAGGUCAUAGUGAUCCGGUGGUUCUGAAUGGAAGGGCCAUCGCUCAACGGAUAAAAGGUACUCCGGGGAUAACAGGCUGAUACCGCCCAAGAGUUCAUAUCGACGGCGGUGUUUGGCACCUCGAUGUCGGCUCAUCACAUCCUGGGGCUGAAGUAGGUCCCAAGGGUAUGGCUGUUCGCCAUUUAAAGUGGUACGCGAGCUGGGUUUAGAACGUCGUGAGACAGUUCGGUCCCUAUCUGCCGUGGGCGCUGGAGAACUGAGGGGGGCUGCUCCUAGUACGAGAGGACCGGAGUGGACGCAUCACUGGUGUUCGGGUUGUCAUGCCAAUGGCACUGCCCGGUAGCUAAAUGCGGAAGAGAUAAGUGCUGAAAGCAUCUAAGCACGAAACUUGCCCCGAGAUGAGUUCUCCCUGACUCCUUGAGAGUCCUGAAGGAACGUUGAAGACGACGACGUUGAUAGGCCGGGUGUGUAAGCGCAGCGAUGCGUUGAGCUAACCGGUACUAAUGAACCGU